rnacentral:rRNA from 1 species
GACGAACGCUGGCGGCGUGCCUAAUACAUGCAAGUCGAGCGGGGUUAAUUAGAAGCUUGCUUCUAACUAACCUAGCGGCGGACGGGUGAGUAACACGUAGGCAACCUGCCCACAAGACAGGGAUAACUACCGGAAACGGUAGCUAAUACCCGAUACAUCCUUUUCCUGCAUGGGAGAAGGAGGAAAGGCGGAGCAAUCUGUCACUUGUGGAUGGGCCUGCGGCGCAUUAGCUAGUUGGUGGGGUAAAGGCCUACCAAGGCGACGAUGCGUAGCCGACCUGAGAGGGUGAUCGGCCACACUGGGACUGAGACACGGCCCAGACUCCUACGGGAGGCAGCAGUAGGGAAUCUUCCGCAAUGGGCGAAAGCCUGACGGAGCAACGCCGCGUGAGUGAUGAAGGUUUUCGGAUCGUAAAGCUCUGUUGCCAGGGAAGAACGUCUUAUAGAGUAACUGCUACUAGGGUGACGGUACCUGAGAAGAAAGCCCCGGCUAACUACGUGCCAGCAGCCG